CUGGCGGGACUUUAUUUCUCCCACCAGUGGCUGAGCCAAUGAGUAAAGUUUGAUCAUUUUUUCACUUAUCCAGUGAGGCGGGGGGGCGAGCCCUGAGGGGCUCUCUCUUCUGGCUCCAAGCGUCCAGCGCGGGCUGGGCGCAACCUGCUCCAGGGACAGCAUCAGAUGGGGAGUUUGACUGGGGCGGUACACCUGUCAAACCGUAAUGCAGGUGUCCUAAGGCAAGCUCAGGGAGGACAGAAACCUCCCUUGGAGCAGAAAGACAAAAGCUCACUUGAUCUUGAUUUUCAGUACGAAUACAGACGAUGAAAGCGGGGUCUCACGAUCCUUCUGACUUUUUGGGUUUUAAGCAGGAGGUGUCAGAAAAGUUACCACAGGGAUAACUGGCUUGUGGCAGCCAAGCAUUCAUAGUGACCAUAAUGACCAUUUAUGGCA
rnacentral:ncRNA from 1 species